rnacentral:rRNA from 1 species
AUUGAACGCUGGCGGCAGGCCUAACACAUGCAAGUCGAACGAGUGGCGGACGGGUGAGUAAUGUCUGGGAAACUGCCAGAUGGAGGGGGAUCACUACUGGAAACGGUAGCUAAUACCGCAUACCAUCAGAUGUGCCCAGAUGGGAUUAGCUAGGAGGUGGGGUAAAGGCUCACCUAGGCGACGACCCCGAGCUGGUCUGAGAGGAUGACCAGUCACACGGGAACUGAGACACGGUCCAGACUCCUACGGGAGGCAGCAGUGGGGAAUAUUGCACAAUGGGCGCAAGCCUGAUGCAGCCAUGCCGCGUGUAUGAAGAAGGCCUUCGGGUUGUAAAGUACUUUCAGCGGGGAGGCGUUACCCGCAGAAGAAGCACCGGCUAACUCCGUGCCAGCAGCCGCGGUAAUUC